rnacentral:rRNA from 1 species
AUACGGAGGGUGCGAGCGUUAAUCGGAAUUACUGGGCGUAAAGCGUACGUAGGCGUUUUGCUAAGUCAGAUGUGAAAGCCCCGGGCUUAACCUGGGAACUGCAUUUGAUACUGGCAGACUAGAGUAUGAUAGAGGGGGGUAGAAUUCCUGGUGUAGCGGUGAAAUGCGUAGAUAUCAGGAGGAAUACCAGUGGCGAAGGCGGCCCCCUGGAUCAAUACUGACGCUGAGGUACGAAAGCGUGGGGAGCGAACAGGAUUAGAUACCCUAGUAGUCC